ensembl:snoRNA
AUGUGACACAAGGAUGAUAACAUAGUUCAGCAGACUACCACUGAUGAACACAACUAGUCUUUCGCUCCUAUCUGAGAUGUCACAG